UUUCACAUGGCUGGCUCCUUCUCAGUGGCUGGCUCCUUAAUUAUCACUUCCUAAGAGUGAUAUGAAGAUUAAUUACACUUUCUAAACAGGCCACUGGUGAAAAUAACUGAAAUAUAUGAUGGCUCUUUGAGGAAAGGCACUGUGUAACACUAAGCAUGUCCUAGUGUAAUAGCAAGUAAAUGAAGUUCAUCCUCUGCCUGCUCUACAUUCACUAUUGAAGGAACUAUAAAGACUAUACAUGAUUUGGAAAUGAGACUGUACCAAACAAUGGCCAAAGAAGGCCACUCCAUGC